rnacentral:rRNA from 1 species
CCUACGGGAGGCAGCAGUGGGGAAUAUUGCACAAUGGGCGCAAGCCUGAUGCAGCAACGCCGCGUGAGGGAUGACGGCCUUCGGGUUGAAACCUCUUUUAGCAGGGAAGCGGUACCUGCAGAAAAAGCACCGGCUAACUACGUGCCAGCAGCCGCGGUAAUACGUAGGGUGCAAGCGUUAUCCGGAAUUAUUGGGCGUAAAGAGCUCGUAGGCGGUUUGUCGCGUCUGCUGUGAAAUCUGGGGGCUCAACCCCCAGCCUGCAGUGGGUACGGGCAGACUAGAGUGCGGUAGGGGAGAUUGGAAUUCCUGGUGUAGCGGUGGAAUGCGCAGAUAUCAGGAGGAACACCGAUGGCGAAGGCAGAUCUCUGGGCCGUACUGACGCUGAGGAGCGAAAGGGUGGGGAGCAAACAGGCUUAGAUACCCUUGUAGUC